AGAGUUUGAUCAUGGCUCAGAUUGAACGCUGGCGGCAUGGCUAAAACAUGCAAGUCGAACGUGUGCAGUAAUGCAUAAGUGGCGAAAGGGUCAGUAAUGCGAUCGAAUGUACCCCGAGGUGGGGGAUAGGGCGGGGAAACUCGCCAUAAUACCCCAUGAUGUCUCCGGACCAAAGGUUUACCGCCUUGGGAGCAGCGAUCGUCCUAUCAGGUAGUUGGUGAGGUAACGGCUCACCAAGCCUAAGACGGGUAGCAGGUGUGAGAGCACGACCUGCGACAUCGGGACUGAGACACUGCCCGGACUUCUACGGAAGGCUGCAGUAACGAAUCUUCCGCAAUGGGCGCAAGCCUGACGGAGCAAUGCCGCGUGUGGGAUGAAGCGGCUACGCCGUGUAAACCACUGUCAGGGGGCAGAAACAAUGAUCGCCCCCAGAGGAAGAGCCGGCUAACCCUGUGCCAGCAGCCGCGGUAAUACAGGGGGCUCGAGCGUUAGUCGGAAUCACUGGGCUUAAAGGGUGCGUAGGCGGCCCGCCAAGUGCUUUGUGAAAUCCCCGAGCUCAACUCGGGAACAGCAGGGCAAACUGGCGGGCUUGAAGCAGGUAGGGGCUGGAAGAACAGUUGGUGGAGCGGUGAAAUGCGUAGAUAUCAACUGGAAUGCCGAUGGGGAAGCCGUCCAGCUGGGCCUGUCUUGACGCUGAGGCACGAAAGCGUGGGGAGCAAACAGGAUUAGAUACCCUGGUAGUCCACGCCGUAAACGAUGUGCACUAGACUGGUGCGGUUUUGACGCCGUAUCAGUCGCAGUAAAAACGAUAAGUGCACCGCCUGGGGAGUACGGUCGCAAGGCUAAAACUCAAAUGAAUUGACGGGGGCUCACACAAGCGGUGGAGCAUGUUGCUUAAUUCGAGGCAACGCGAAGAACCUUACCUGGGCUUGACAUGUACGGAUUAACCCCUUGAAAGAGGGCACAGUCGCAAGGCCGGAA
rnacentral:rRNA from 1 species